rnacentral:rRNA from 1 species
GCAGUCGAGCGAACAGAUGAGAAGCUUGCUUCUCUGAUGUUAGCGGCGGACGGGUGAGUAACACGUGGGUAACCUACCUAUAAGACUGGGAUAACUCCGGGAAACCGGGGCUAAUACCGGAUAAUAUUUUGAACCGCAUGGUUCAAUAGUGAAAGACGGUUUCGGCUGUCACUUAUAGAUGGACCCGCGCCGUAUUAGCUAGUUGGUAAGGUAAUGGCUUACCAAGGCGACGAUACGUAGCCGACCUGAGAGGGUGAUCGGCCACACUGGAACUGAGACACGGUCCAGACUCCUACGGGAGGCAGCAGUAGGGAAUCUUCCGCAAUGGGCGAAAGCCUGACGGAGCAACGCCGCGUGAGUGAUGAAGGUCUUCGGAUCGUAAAACUCUGUUGUUAGGGAAGAACAAAUUUGUUAGUAACUGAACAAGUCUUGACGGUACCUAACCAGAAAGCCACGGCUAACUACGUGCCAGCAGCCGCGGUAAUACGUAGGUGGCAAGCGUUAUCCGGAAUUAUUGGGCGUAAAGCGCGCGUAGGCGGUUUCUUAAGUCUGAUGUGAAAGCCCACGGCUCAACCGUGGAGGGUCAUUGGAAACUGGGAAACUUGAGUGCAGAAGAGGAGAGUGGAAUUCCAUGUGUAGCGGUGAAAUGCGCAGAGAUAUGGAGGAACACCAGUGGCGAAGGCGGCUCUCUGGUCUGUAACUGACGCUGAUGUGCGAAAGCGUGGGGAUCAAACAGGAUUAGAUACCCUGGUAGUCCACGCCGUAAACGAUGAGUGCUAAGUGUUAGGGGGUUUCCGCCCCUUAGUGCUGCAGCUAACGCAUUAAGCACUCCGCCUGGGGAGUACGACCGCAAGGUUGAAACUCAAAGGAAUUGACGGGGACCCGCACAAGCGGUGGAGCAUGUGGUUUAAUUCGAAGCAACGCGAAGAACCUUACCAAAUCUUGACAUCCUUUGACCGCUCUAGAGAUAGAGUCUUCCCCUUCGGGGGACAAAGUGACAGGUGGUGCAUGGUUGUCGUCAGCUCGUGUCGUGAGAUGUUGGGUUAAGUCCCGCAACGAGCGCAACCCUUAAGCUUAGUUGCCAUCAUUAAGUUGGGCACUCUAGGUUGACUGCCGGUGACAAACCGGAGGAAGGUGGGGAUGACGUCAAAUCAUCAUGCCCCUUAUGAUUUGGGCUACACACGUGCUACAAUGGAUAAUACAAAGGGCAGCGAAUCCGCGAGGCCAAGCAAAUCCCAUAAAAUUAUUCUCAGUUCGGAUUGUAGUCUGCAACUCGACUACAUGAAGCUGGAAUCGCUAGUAAUCGUAGAUCAGCAUGCUACGGUGAAUACGUUCCCGGGUCUUGUACACACCGCCCGUCACACCACGAGAGUUUGUAACACCCGAAGCCGGUGGAGUAACCUUUUAGGA